rnacentral:rRNA from 1 species
CCUACGGGUGGCUGCAGUGAGGAAUAUUGGUCAAUGGCCGAGAGGCUGAACCAGCCAAGUCGCGUGAGGGAAGACGGCCCUACGGGUUGUAAACCUCUUUUGUCGGGGAGCAAAGCGAACCACGUGUGGUUCAUUGAGAGUACCCGAAGAAAAAGCAUCGGCUAACUCCGUGCCAGCAGCCGCGGUAAUACGGAGGAUGCGAGCGUUAUCCGGAUUUAUUGGGUGUAAAGGGUGCGCAGGCGGAGGUGCAAGUCAGCGGUCAAAGUGCGGGGCUCAACCCCGGGACUGCGUUUGGAACUGCGCGGCUGGAGUGCGGGAGAGGCAGGCGGAAGUCCUGGUGUAGCGGUGAAAUGCGUAGAUAGCAGGAGGAACACCGGUGGCGAAGGCGGCCUGCUGGACUGCGACUGACGUUGAGGCCCGAAAGCGUGGGGAGCAAACAGGAUUAGAUACCCCAGUAGUC